GGAGAGAUGGCUUACAGGUCAAGAGCACUGGCUGCUCUUCCAGAGGUCCUGGGUUCGAUUCCCAGCAUCUACA
rnacentral:tRNA from 1 species